rnacentral:lncRNA from 1 species
GCUAAUUAGCACGUGAUGCAAACAAACCGUUCAACAACAACAACACGAGGAAACAUGCGUGAAAAGGCAAACAAACAAUAUUUGUAAACACGAGAACAACUGCUGGCGGUACACAUUAUAAGAAGAUCACUUUAUUGGACGAGAAGUUGUUACGCCUACAAAUUUCAGACGUUGCAUCUUGAAGACAGCGAUCGCUUCAUGAUCAUUCUCACAGGAAAGUGAAGAGAAAAUGGCCAACAGGGAGUGUAUAUUGGGAAAAUUGAAACCUUUCAAAGCAACUGAUGAGUACUACAAUCUUCUGCCAGAGGACGAAGCAGCAACCCCCAAGUCAUUCACAAGAUUA